rnacentral:rRNA from 1 species
CCGCAAGGCGUGGCAUACGGCUCAGUAACACGUAGUCAACAUGCCCAAAGGACGUGGAUAACCUCGGGAAACUGAGGAUAAACCGCGAUAGGCCAAGGUUUCUGGAAUGAGCCCUGGCCGAAAUCUAUAUGGCCUUUGGAUUGGACUGCGGCCGAUCAGGCUGUUGGUGAGGUAAUGGCCCACCAAACCUGUAACCGGUACGGGCUUUGAGAGAAGGAGCCCGGAGAUGGGCACUGAGACAAGGGCCCAGGCCCUAUGGGGCGCAGCAGGCGCGAAACCUCUGCAAUAGGCGAAAGCCUGACAGGGUUACUCUGAGUGAUGCCCGCUAAGGGUAUCUUUUGGCACCUCUAAAAAUGGUGCAGAAUAAGGGGUGGGCAAGUCUGGUGUCAGCCGCCGCGGUAAUACCAGCACCCCGAGUUGUUGGGACGAUUAUUGGGCCUAAAGCAUCCGUAGCCUGUUCUGCAAGUCCUCCGUUAAAUCCACCUGCUCAACGGAUGGGCUGCGGAGGAUACCGCAGAGCUAGGAGGCGGGAGAGGCAAACGGUACUCAGUGGGUAGGGGUAAAAUCCAUUGAUCUACUGAAGACCACCAGUGGCGAAGGCGGUUUGCCAGAACGCGCUCGACGGUGAGGGAUGAAAGCUGGGGGAGCAAACCGGAUUAGAUACCCGGGUAGUCCCAGCUG